rnacentral:rRNA from 1 species
AUUGAACGCUGGCGGCAGGCCUAACACAUGCAAGUCGAGCGGCAGCGGGAAAGUAGCUUGCUACUUUUGCCGGCGAGCGGCGGACGGGUGAGUAAUGCCUGGGAAAUUGCCCAGUCGAGGGGGAUAACAGUUGGAAACGACUGCUAAUACCGCAUACGCCCUACGGGGGAAAGCAGGGGACCUUCGGGCCUUGCGCGAUUGGAUAUGCCCAGGUGGGAUUAGCUAGUUGGUGAGGUAAUGGCUCACCAAGGCGACGAUCCCUAGCUGGUCUGAGAGGAUGAUCAGCCACACUGGAACUGAGACACGGUCCAGACUCCUGCGGGAGGCAGCAGUGGGGAAUAUUGCACAAUGGGGGAAACCCUGAUGCAGCCAUGCCGCGUGUCUGAAGAAGGCCUUCGGGUUGUAAAGCACUUUCAGCGAGGAGGAAAGGUCAGUAGCUAAUAUCUGCUGGCUGUGACGUUACUCACAGAAGAAGCACCGGCUAACUCCGUGCCAGCCGCCGCGGUAAGAC